UUUUAUGAUCCUUUACGUCAUUUGGCUCUUUACUCAUUAAAUAAACUCUUAUUACCAUGUUCCGGUCAGGUAGUGUCCUAGGCUCUGGGAACACAGUAUAACAAAUAAAAUUGAGGGACUUCCCUGAUGGUCUAGUGGUUAAGAAUCCGCCUGCUAAUCCAGGGGAUGUGGGGUUCCAUCCCUGGUCUGGGAGGAUCCCACCGGCCUUGGGGGCAACUAAGCCCGAGAGCUGCAGAUACUGAAGCCCUCGAGCCUACAGCCUGUGCUCUGAAACAGGGAAGCCACCGAGAACAGCAGGCCUCGCAUCACUGUCACCCAGGCCAAGCUCACUCUGCUCGCUUCACGACAGGCCAGUGAAUCCGAGAGACAAGGUGCUGAGCCAAGGAAGAGGCUUUAAGUGGGGAGCCGGCAGACCGAGACGAUGGUAGGCUAGCGCCUCAAAAUAACCAUCUUUGUGGGGUCUGGAUGCCAGGUUCAUUUAUAGAGCAGAGAGAAAGAGGCAGUGAGGAACUAAAGUCAAAAGGCAGAAUAGAGAGGGAGAUGCAGUGGGGAAUAAAGUGAGAGGGUCUUCAGUCUGGUGACACAUCUCCAAGGGAAUGUCCAGCCUUCAGAAGGGGUGUGUGAAUCUCUUCUAUUCACAGGUGGGCAGCGACAAGCGCUCUCUCCAUGAGCUGAACAAAGGCACUUUAGUUUAGUUAUCCAAGCAGAGGGGGCAGGGUCCCCAGGCAAGCCACUGAGUAUGAUUAUAAUAAUAAAAGCAAGUCAUGGGGAAUUCAUGUGGAGGUCAGAGUGGAAGCAGGUGUGAGUGGGUCCAGCCAAAGGAGACAUGGCUGCCAAAGGGUUUGAGUCCAUUGGCAAGUUUGGUCUUGCCUUAGCCAUUGCAGGAGGCGUGGUGAACUCUGCCUGUAUAGUGUGGAUGCUGGGCACAGAGCUGUCAUCUUCGACCGGUUCCGGGGAGUGCCGGACAUUGUCGUAGGAGAAGGGACUCACUUCCUCAUCCCUUGGGUACAGAAACCAAUCAUCUUUGACUGCCGCUCUCGACCACGUAACAUGCCAGUAAUCACUGGUAGCAAAGAUUUACAGAAUGUCAACAUCACCCUGCGCAUCCUCUUCCGGCCGGUUGCUAAUCAGCUUCCUCGCAUCUUCACAAGCAUUGGAGAGGACUACGAUGAGCGCGUGCUGCCGUCCAUCACUACAGAGAUCCUCAAGUCCGUGGUGGCUCGCUUUGAUGCUGGAGAACUGAUCACCCAGAGACAGCUGGUCUCCAGCCAGGUGAGCGAUGACCUCACAGAGCGAGCAGCGACCUUUGGGCUCCUCUUGGAUGACGUAUCCUUGACGCAUCUGACCUUUGGGAAGGAGUUCACAGAAGCGGUGGAAGCCAAACAGGUGGCUCAGCAGGAAGCAGAGAGGGCCAGAUUUGUGGUGGAAAAGGCUGAGCAGCAGAAGAAGGCAGCCGUCAUCUCUGCGGAGGGCGACUCCAAGGCGGCGGAGUUGAUCGCCAACUCGCUCGCCACUGCAGGCGACGGCCUGAUGGAGCUGCGCAAGCUGGAGGCCGCGGAAGACACCGCGUACCAGCUGUCGCGCUCGCGGAACAUCACCUACCUGCCUGCCGGGCAGUCGAUGCUCCUCCAGCUGCCCCAUGAGGCCCACGCCUCCUGGGCCAUCUGGACCACAGCCCCGAAGUUGCUCAGCACCACCUUCCUUCUCCUGCCCCAGAAAUCACUGUGAAACUUCAUCAUUGGCUUAAAGUGAAGGAAAUAAAAGUAAAAUCACUUCA